GUUGGAGGAAAAAUUGAAUUCAAUGAGAAUAUUAGAAAAUUUUGAUCUGCCUGCCUCCAUUGCUGAUAUAUUUGUUAAGCCAAAAGAAAGCCCUGUUGUUGAUCUCAAUGAAGAAUCAAAAGUUCCUGAGGGAGAUGCAUCCAUAGAUGACGAAGAUGAAUUUGAAGAAAUUAAGUCGCAGAAGGAGAACGAGGUGGAUCCGGAACCAGUCCCUGAGGGAGCUGCAUCCAUAUAUGACGAAGAUGAAUUUGAAGAAAGUAACUCGCAGAAGGAGAACGAGGUGGAUCCGGAACCAGUUCCUAUACCACUAAAGAUGGUCCGCAUGGCUAAUCUUUGUGUUGUGGGAGGCCAUGCAGUAAAUGGAGUUGCAGAGAUUCAU
rnacentral:lncRNA from 1 species